UGAUGUGAUCAUACCAGCACUAAUGCACCGAAUCCCAUCAGAACUUCGCAGUUAAACAUGCUUGGGCGAGAGUAGUACUAGGAUGGGAGACCCCGUGGGAGAUCCUCAUAUUGCAUCCU